rnacentral:misc_RNA from 1 species
AACUUUUGGCAACGGAUCUCUUGGUUCUGGCAUCGAUGAAGAACGCAGCGAAAUGCGAUAAUUAAUGUGAAUUGCAGAAUUUAGUGAAUCAUCGAAUCUUUGAACGCACAUUGCGCCCCUUGGUAUUCCGGGGGGCAUGCCUGUUCGAGCGUCAUUUCAACCCUCAAGCUCUGCUUGGUCUUGGGCCGCGCCGGCAACGGCGGGCCUCAAAAACAGUGGCGGCGCCAUCGUGUCCCUCAGCGUAGUAAUUCUUCUCGCUGCUGGUGCCCGGUGGCCGCUGGCCAGCAACCCCAAAUUUUUCUAUGGUUGACCUCGGAUCAGGUAGGGAUACCCGCUGAACUUAAGCAUAUCAAUAAGCGGAGGCU